UACGGGGGGAGCAAGCGUUGUUCGGAUUUACUGGGCGUAAAGGGUGCGUAGGCGGUCAGCACAAGUCAGUUGUGAAAUCUCCGGGCUUAACUCGGAAAGGUCAACUGAUACUGUGCGACUAGAGUGCAGAAGGGGCAACUGGAAUUCUCGGUGUAGCGGUGAAAUGCGUAGAUAUCGAGAGGAACACCUGCGGCGAAGGCGGGUUGCUGGGCUGACACUGACGCUGAGGAGCGAAAGCCAGGGGAGCAAACGGG
rnacentral:rRNA from 1 species